AACGAACGCUGGCGGCGUGCCUAACACAUGCAAGUCGUGCGAGAAAGUUCCUUCGGGAGCGAGUAAAGCGGCGCACGGGUGAGUAACACGUAGGUAACCUCGCCCCCCAGUCUGGAACAACUAGAGGAAACUCUAGCUAAUGCCGGAUGAGACCACGAUCCCGUUCGGGGGUUGCGGCCAAAGAUGGCCUCUACUUGUAAGCUAUCGCUGAGGGAUGGGCCUGCGGCCAUUAGCUUGUUGGUGGAGGUAACGGCUCACCAAGGCUGUGAUGGCUAGCUGGUCUGAGAGGAUGACCAGCCACACUGGGACUGAGACACGGCCCAGACUCCUACGGGAGGCAGCAGUGGGAAUAUUGCGCAAUGGGCGAAAGCCUGACGCAGCGACGCCGCGUGGGUGA
rnacentral:rRNA from 1 species